rnacentral:rRNA from 1 species
GACGAACGCUGGCGGCGUGCUUAACACAUGCAAGUCGAACGGAAAGGCCCUGCUUUUGUGGGGUGCUCGAGUGGCGAACGGGUGAGUAACACGUGAGUAACCUGCCCUUGACUUUGGGAUAACUUCAGGAAACUGGGGCUAAUACCGGAUAGGAGCUCCUGCUGCAUGGUGGGGGUUGGAAAGUUUCGGCGGUUGGGGAUGGACUCGCGGCUUAUCAGCUUGUUGGUGGGGUAGUGGCUUACGAAGGCUUUGACGGGUAGCCGGCCUGAGAGGGUGACCGGCCACAUUGGGACUGAGAUACGGCCCAGACUCCUACGGGAGGCAGCAGUGGGGAAUAUUGCACAAUGGGCGGAAGCCUGAUGCAGCAACGCCGCGUGCGGGAUGAAGGCCUUCGGGUUGUAAACCGCUUUCGCCUGUGACGAAGCGUGAGUGACGGUAAUGGGUAAAGAAGCACCGGCUAACUACGUG